CAGACCUGAAUGAGCUUCAGCACCAGAUCAGGUUUAAAUGUAUGAAGGUGAAGUUUAACGUGCAGCUGUCAGCUGGAAACCAGCGGCUGCAUCACUAAAUAUUCUCUAUGAACACGUUGAACACUUUCUACCAGCAUUCCUGUCUCCACCGUUUACAGUAGCGGCAUCAUGGUGAUGUUCCUCAUUGUUCUCCAUUAAAACAAGGAGCUGACUGAAGCAGCUGCUCGUGAUCGAUUCAUUCAGGGCAGAAGAAGAGUCACAUGACGCCUUAACGCCUCCUUUAAUGAGAACAGAGUCUGAAGCAGGAAGCUGGACCUCCUUCAUGACACCUGUGGUCUCUGCUGGAGCUUUGGUUCAUGUGGAGCCGCUACACAGAGAAAGCCUGGAUAUGUUGAUCUGGCUUCGUAGUUCAGCCCUCUGGUGUAAACGGGUUAAUCAACAUCACAACACAAGCUGUGAAUAAGCCCAACAUGUACAUAGAAAUGUAAAUGACUGAGUUCAGCGUCGGCUUCCUGAGAAAGAUAAAGUUUGUCGUCUAUUUUGAUACCAGAGGAGACGUUUAUUUUUGUAACGAAGAUGCAGAGCUCGUCCCGCUGCGUCUGGAUGAUUCUCAGUGAGCUGAGCUGUGAUCAGAUUUCAGUGUUGAUUAUUUGUGUAAUUGUACAUACAGACGAUGAUACGAACCCAGACUACUGUAAACGCUGUUGAGGUUCUGGAGGAGAACAGAGAGAACUGAGCUGAGUGCAGGAGAACCAAAGCUGCACUGAUCUGGCUAAACGGGAAUAAAACGGGCUGAAGUGAAGCUGUUGUCCUCCAGAGUGACAUCAGACGUCAGCAUCGGCUUCGUUUAGCUCCAGUUCAGACUAACGGGACCAUCAUGACAACAUUUGGGUCAGUGGAGCCAAGAAGUGCUUCUGUUGCUGGCUGUGGUUCUGCCACUGAGUCAGUGUUCUGUCAGACUCAGAACAGGUUUGUUCCUGUCUCUCUGCUGCCUCCUUGUGGACCAGCCACAUCAUUAAAGUUUCUGUCCAGCUUUAUGUGAAGGAAUUCUUCAGUUCACUUCCUGUGUUUGUGCAGGACUGAAAAUGGGCCGAACCUAAACCUCCUUUGAGCCCAUUUCUGGUGUUUGAGCUGCUGUGACUUGAUGUUCCUUCAGUACCGAACCGCCAGCUUGUUUUGAACGUGUCAAAGCUGCAGUUAAACUGGUUAAACUGGUUAAUUUCCAUUUGGUGCUCUUAUUCUGAAACCGCCUCAUAAACAGAAUACAUUCAACAUUUCCUGUCAGUGAGAAGGUUUUCUGAAGAACAGUUCUGUUUUUCACAUUCUGAUAUUAAAAAAACAGUGAUUGGUACAUGUUGGACAGCAGCAGGAGGUUCUGGAGGUCCACAUGGUGAUCAGUGGAGCUACAAGAUCUUAGAAAGUCUAAAAAGUGGAAUGAGUUUUUAUUUUGUGGAUCAGUUUCCUGCUCCAUCUGGUGACCGUGGCUUCGGCGUGGUGUGAUUAUGGGAUGCUGAGUUGAUAUCAUCUCUGAAUAUCUGAAGCUUCUCCCGAAUCUCCGUUCUGUUUCUUUUAUUGUUUGUUAUGUGGAAGACCGAUCCGGUCCAGUGAGUCACAACAUGUUGUUCUGAGAAGGUUUCAUCCCAAACAGACCUCAUGAAGGUCCAGAUGCUGAGGGAUGGACAUGAAACACAGCACCUUGAAAUUCUGACAAUGACUUGUGUUUGUGACGUCUGGAAACUCGGACAAAUGGAAACGGGACCAUCGUGUCACUGCCAGUAAAGACGUCUGAUUGGUUGUUUGUGUCCCAGAAUGCUGUGUUCUGAUUGGUUGCUCAGCCUCUUUUGUUGAUGCACUUUAAAUUCUGUUUUUCUGGAAGCUUCUGGAACGUUUCUUCUUUUGUUCCUGUUCAAACUUUACUUUUGUUUCUUGCUAUAUUUGACUUUUGCCGCUGGUGGAGACGUGUUGGCCGGUUCUGAGUUCUGACUGGAUCGGGCUGAUGCUUCAGGUCGAUCCUGUUCGUGGGUCAUAAUGAUUCUACUGUUUCAUCUUCUCCACUUCUGACGUCAGGCUGAAAGCAGCUGCUGGAAGACGAACCUUUUAGAACGCAGCUGUUUUCAGGUGGAUUUAAAAACAUUUCAAGGGUUCUGCUGGUGGUCGGUUCUGAUUAAUCAAAGGUGGAACUUUCGGUCCUUCCAGAGCCGCUGCGCUGCCGGGCCGACGGUGUGGCGUGAGCUCCACCACGUUCUCCAGGUGUUCUGUUGGUGUGACUGUCCUUCAUACACGUGUAAAUAAAAGAUGUUGUUUCUGUGUUUCAGUUGCUGCACGGUCCUGAUCCGGACAGAAGUUCAAUAAAAAGUUACUGCAAGUCGUUGUUUCUA